AUCUAUGGCCAUGCCAUCCUUAAUGUGCCCGAUCCCGUCUGAUCUCAGCUGCUAAGCAGGGUUGGGCCUGGUUAGUACUUGGAUGGGAGAUCACAAGGUGCUGUAGGCA
rnacentral:rRNA from 1 species